rnacentral:rRNA from 1 species
GAUGAACGCUGGCGGCGUGCCUAAUACAUGCAAGUCGAGCGAACGGACGAGAAGCUUGCUUCUCUGAUGUUAGCGGCGGACGGGUGAGUAACACGUGGAUAACCUACCUAUAAGACUGGGAUAACUUCGGGAAACCGGAGCUAAUACCGGAUAAUAUUUUGAACCGCAUGGUUCAAAAGUGAAAGACGGUCUUGCUGUCACUUAUAGAUGGAUCCGCGCUGCAUUAGCUAGUUGGUAAGGUAACGUCUUACCAAGGCAACGAUGCAUAGCCGACCUGAGAGGGUGAUCGGCCACACUGGAACUGAGACACGGUCCAGACUCCUACGGGAGGCAGCAGUAGGGAAUCUUCCGCAAUGGGCGAAAGCCUGACGGAGCAACGCCGCGUGAGUGAUGAAGGUCUUCGGAUCGUAAAACUCUGUUAUUAGGGAAGAACAUAUGUGUAAGUAACUGUGCACAUCUUGACGGUACCUAAUCAGAAAGCCACGGCUAACUACGU